CCCGCGAAAGGUCGUGGAGAGGGGAACAUGCGCAUAAAGGUCUGUGCGCGGUGGCGCCGCAUGUGGGGUAGCAAGCUGUUGCCGUUGGGGCCAGGAUCCUCUACGGGCUGAAUCUGGAGAGCCCCGGAGCCUGUGGCCUGUCAUCAUAGUAGCUAACUUUUAUAGCGUGCUUCGCCAUGCCAAGCACUGAGUAAGCUUCACACGCGUCAUUUCAUUUGUUCCAACAGCUCUUUGAAGUGGCACGGACUAUCCCAGUUUUAAAGUCGGAAAAAGGAAUGGAAAUGAACUACCACAUAGUGGAUCAGUCCUUUCUCAGGCUGGUAACAUUACGGAAUCCCCGUUGAAACGCAAGCUGGACUGGCGGAAAUCAGAUUCCCAUAUUCUCUCAUAAGCUGUUUGUCAAGGAAUGUCAUAUACAUGGAAUUACAUACCAUGUAGCCCUUGAGACUGGAUUCUUUUAUUCAGUUGAAGAAAUGGAGGCCCAGAGAGGAUAACAACUUGCCCAAGUUCCCAUGGCUGGUAAGUAGCCAAGAUUGGAAU